rnacentral:rRNA from 1 species
UACGGAGGGUGCAAGCGUUAUCCGGAUUCACUGGGUUUAAAGGGUGCGUAGGCGGGUUGGUAAGUCCGUGGUGAAAUCCCCAAGCUUAACUUGGGAACUGCCGUGGAUACUAUCAAUCUUGAAUAUCGUGGAGGUAAGCGGAAUAUGUCAUGUAGCGGUGAAAUGCUUAGAUAUGACAUAGAACACCAAUUGCGUAGGCAGCUUUACUACACGAAUCAUUUGACGCUGAGGCACGAAAAGCGUGGGGGAGCAAACAG